rnacentral:tRNA from 1 species
GGAGUCGUAGCGCAGAGGUCGUCGCGCCUGGAAGACAUUUAGGAGGACGCCGGUUCGAAUCCGGUCGGCUCCGCCA